rnacentral:rRNA from 1 species
CGGACGGGUGAGUAAUGCUUGGGAAUCUGGCUUAUGGAGGGGGAUAACUACGGGAAACUGUAGCUAAUACCGCGUAGUAUCGAGAGAUGAAAGACUGGGACCGCAAGGCCAGUUGCCAUAAGAUGAGCCCAAGUGGGAUUAGGUAGUUGGUGGGGUAAAGGCCUACCAAGCCGACGAUCUCUAGCUGGUCUGAGAGGAUGACCAGCCACACUGGAACUGAGACACGGUCCAGACUCCUACGGGAGGCAGCAGUGGGGAAUAUUGCACAAUGGGGGGAACCCUGAUGCAGCCAUGCCGCGUGAAUGAAGAAGGCCUUCGGGUUGUAAAGUUCUUUCGGUGAUGAGGAAGGGUAGUGUUUUAAUAGAACAUUACAUUGACGUUAGUCACAGAAGAAGCACCGGCUAACUCCGUGCCAGCAGCCGCGGUAAUACGGAGGGUGCGAGCGUUAAUCGGAAUGACUGGGCGUAAAGGGCACGCAGGCGGUGACUUAAGUGAGAUGUGAAAGCCCCGAGCUUAACUUGGGAAUUGCAUUUCAUACUGGGUUGCUAGAGUAUUUUAGGGAGGGGUAGAAUUCCACGUGUAGCGGUGAAAUGCGUAGAGAUGUGGAGGAAUACCGAAGGCGAAGGCAGCCCCUUGGGAAAAUACUGACGCUCAUGUGCGAAAGCGUGGGGAGCAAACAGGAUUAGAUACCCUGGUAGUCCACGCUGUAAACGCUGUCGAUUUGGGGAUUGGGCUUAGAGCUUGGUGCCCGUAGCUAACGUGAUAAAUCGACCGCCUGGGGAGUACGGCCGCAAG